UACGAAGGGGGCUAGCGUUGCUCGGAAUCACUGGGCGUAAAGGGUGCGUAGGCGGCCUUUUAAGUCAGUGCUGAAAUACUCUAGCUUAACUAGAGGGGUGGCAUUGAUACUGAAAGGCUUGAGUGAAGUCGAAGUAGGCGGAAUUGACGGUGUAGCGGUGAAAUGCUUAGAUAUCGUCAAGAACACCGAUAGUGAAGACAGCUUACUAGACUUCAACUGACGCUGAGGCACGAAAGUGUGGGGAUCAAACAGG
rnacentral:rRNA from 1 species